CAUAGGUGCUGGAGCUAGGGGUGCGGCACCCUCUGGCUUGAAGUGGUUUCCAUUAUAUACAGGGUUUACAGAUUGGUUCAAUGGCUCUCAGCACCCACACUAUAAAAAUUGUUCCAGCAUCCCUGCAGACCCUCAGGAA